AUGCAGAUAUGUAAGUUGCAUGGUGCAGCCCAAGGUUGGACCACGAACUCAGACCAGCAAAGCCAGAAGUCAGAAAUUUCCUGCUCAUGGGGAUGCUUAAAACUGGGGGUUCUGGAAUUGAAGCCAAGAACGUCAGUUCAUCUUUUUCAGGCAGCCAAAGAGGUAAGCAUUAAGACUAUCGCAUUCUUCAGUAGAUGGAUAAACAAACUCUGGUACAUCUAUGCAAUGGAAUACUGUUCAACUAUAAAAAGGAAGAAACUACUGAUAAACAUAUCCACUUGAGUUAAUCUCAAAGACACCAUGCUGAUCGAAGGAAGCCAGGUCCAAGAAGUUGCAUAGUGUAUGAUUCCAUUUAUAUGACAUUCUCAAAAAGAAAAACUCCAGUGAUGGGGAACACAGGAGAGGUUGCCAGGGUUAUUAUAGGUGGAGGGAGGGGAUGACUACAAAGCAGUAGCAUGAGGCAGUUUUGAGGGCCAUGAAAAUGUUUGCAUCCUGGUUGUGCUGGUAGUUACACAAAUUUAUACCUGUGUUAAAAUUCACAAAAUUCAUAAAUGUUUUUCAAAAGAAAAAAGUCAAUUUGACUAUAUGGUAUUUUUUUUGAGAGAGAGAGAGAGAGAAUAUGUGAGUGAACAGGAGAGGAGCAGGUGUAGAGACAGAGAGAGAAUCUUAAGCAGGCUCCAUGCUCAGCACAGAGUCUGAUGUGGGCUCAACCCCCCAGACCCUGGGAUCAAUGACCUGAGUUGAAAUCAAGAGUCGGAUGUCCCACCAGCUGAGCCACCCAGGUGCCCCGACUAUAUGGUACUUUUUAACAUAAAAUUUUUAACCAUUAAAAAGAAAAACUUUCUCAUUUGCAAGGAGAGGUGGUUGAUCUACAAAAGGUAGGAAGUAGAAAAACUUAAAACUGCUCAGAGACAAAAAAGUAUAAGAGAGAAACCAGAGUCCCUUUGGGUCCGGUUCUAGCAAUUGUGUUCUUAUUCUUGGCUUCCCUGAGACACACUUAUAUUCUCAUCAUAAAUUCCCCUUUUAUACUUAAGCUAAUUGAGCUCAGAUGUUUCAUCAGCAAUCCAGAAUCCGAACUAAUUUAGUAAGAAUCACUGGUUCACUGUUGCAUUUGUUGUUCUGGAGCUGGAGGGUAGCUUCCCUCCCUACAAGCCUAACAGUAAAUGGAGGCCUACUUUAUAGACGACGUCACCUCAGCAGUUAUAGGUUUUACCACACUGAUAAUAAACCGCACAUUCCAAAUCGCUGACUCA
ensembl:lncRNA